rnacentral:lncRNA from 1 species
GCCUCCAGUGCUCCGGCGCGAUUCCCGCCAACACUCCUUGUCUCCUUCCUUAACAGCGCCAGUUAAGAGAGUGGGGUUAGGGCCUCGGGAUCUUUACCCCUGGACCCAGAAAUGAGCAAAGAUGAUGGAGACCUCCGGUGCUCUGUUUUGGGGAAGCCUCUGAUCCCCCGGGAGUGGUUAAGCAGUAAAACCGAGAAAAAACAAACAAAACUCAGCUUAGGGAACAACUACAAGUGGAGGAGAGCUGCCUGCGAGGCAGAUUGCAACUGAAUACAUGUCAGCAUAGUUACACUUCCUCUGCCCAGACUCACAUACAGAAGUAGACGCUCGAUGCGAGCUCAGUGAAUGAACACACUGCGAGGCAGCGGAGCAAAAGCCCAAGCUCAUGAGUCAUCUCUCACGGGAGUAGACAGAGGCCUGUAGGGGUUGAUUGCCUCAGUGAGGUCGAACCAGCCUUUGACUGCUGUGGUGGUGAGGCCAGGGAAUGAAGGCUUCCAC